UGAGCAACCUGCCCUUGACUCUGGAAUAACAGUUGGAAACAGCUGCUAAUACCGGAUACGACCUCCGACGGCAUCAUCUGAAGGUGGAAAGCUCCGACGGUCAAGGAUGGGCUCGCGGCCUAUCAGCUUGUUGGUGAGGUAACGGCUCACCAAGGCUUCGACGGGUAGCCGGCCUGAGAGGGUGACCGGCCACACUGGGACUGAGACACGGCCCAGACUCCUACGGGAGCAG
rnacentral:rRNA from 1 species